AUGAACGCUAGCUACAGGCUUAACACAUGCAAGUCGAGGGGCAUCAGGAAGAAAGCUUGCUUUCUUUGCUGGCGACCGGCGCACGGGUGAGUAACACGUAUCCAACCUGCCCUUUACUCGGGGAUAGCCUUUCGAAAGAAAGAUUAAUACCCGAUGGCAUAAUGAUUCCGCAUGGUUUCAUUAUUAAAGGAUUCCGGUAAAGGAUGGGGAUGCGUUCCAUUAGGUUGUUGGUGAGGUAACGGCUCACCAAGCCUUCGAUGGAUAGGGGUUCUGAGAGGAAGGUCCCCCACAUUGGAACUGAGACACGGUCCAAACUCCUACGGGAGGCAGCAGUGAGGAAUAUUGGUCAAUGGGCGCUAGCCUGAACCAGCCAAGUAGCGUGAAGGAUGAAGGCUCUAUGGGUCGUAAACUUCUUUUAUAUAAGAAUAAAGUGCAGUAUGUAUACUGUUUUGUAUGUAUUAUAUGAAUAAGGAUCGGCUAACUCCGUGCCAGCAGCCGCGGUAAUACGGAGGAUCCGAGCGUUAUCCGGAUUUAUUGGGUUUAAAGGGAGCGUAGGUGGACUGGUAAGUCAGUUGUGAAAGUUUGCGGCUCAACCGUAAAAUUGCAGUUGAUACUGUCAGUCUUGAGUACAGUAGAGGUGGGCGGAAUUCGUGGUGUAGCGGUGAAAUGCUUAGAUAUCACGAAGAACUCCGAUUGCGAAGGCAGCUCACUGGACUGCAACUGACACUGAUGCUCGAAAGUGUGGGUAUCAAACAGGAUUAGAUACCCUGGUAGUCCACACAGUAAACGAUGAAUACUCGCUGUUUGCGAUAUACAGUAAGCGGCCAAGCGAAAGCAUUAAGUAUUCCACCUGGGGAGUACGCCGGCAACGGUGAAACUCAAAGGAAUUGACGGGGGCCCGCACAAGCGGAGGAACAUGUGGUUUAAUUCGAUGAUACGCGAGGAACCUUACCCGGGCUUAAAUUGCAGUGGAAUGAUGUGGAAACAUGUCAGUGAGCAAUCACCGCUGUGAAGGUGCUGCAUGGUUGUCGUCAGCUCGUGCCGUGAGGUGUCGGCUUAAGUGCCAUAACGAGCGCAACCCUUAUCUUUAGUUACUAACAGGUCAUGCUGAGGACUCUAGAGAGACUGCCGUCGUAAGAUGUGAGGAGGGUGGGGAUGACGUCAAAUCAGCACGGCCCUUACGUCCGGGGCUACACACGUGUUACAAUGGGGGGUACAGAAGGCAGCUAGCGGGUGACCGUAUGCUAAUCCCAAAAUCCUCUCUCAGUUCGGAUCGAAGUCUGCAACCCGACUUCGUGAAGCUGGAUUCGCUAGUAAUCGCGCAUCAGCCACGGCGCGGUGAAUACGUUCCCGGGCCUUGUACACACCGCCCGUCAAGCCAUGGGAGCCGGGGGUACCUGAAGUACGUAACCGCAAGGAUCGUCCUAGGGUAAAACUGGUGACUGGGGCU
rnacentral:rRNA from 1 species